CUCCUACGGGAGGCAGCAGUGGGGAAUUUUGCGCAAUGGGGGCAACCCUGACGCAGCAACGCCGCGUGCGGGACGACGGCCUUCGGGUUGUAAACCGCUUUCAGCAGGGAAGAACCUUGACGGUACCUGCAGAAGAAGCCCCGGCUAACUACGUGCCAGCAGCCGCGGUAAUACGUAGGGGGCGAGCGUUAUCCGGAAUGAUUGGGCGUAAAGCGCGCGCAGGCGGCCGCUCAAGCGGGACCUCUAACCCCGGGGCUCAACCCCGGGCCGGGUCCCGAACUGGGCGGCUCGAGUGCGGUAGGGGAGAGCGGAAUUCCAAGUGUAGCGGUGAAAUGCGCAGAUAUUUGGAAGAACACCGAUGGCGAAGGCAGCUCUCUGGGCCGUCACUGACGCUGAGGCGCGAAAGCCGGGGGAGCGAACAGGAUUAGAUACCCUGGUAGUCCCGGCCGUAAACGAUGGGCGCUAGGUGUGGGGGGACAUUCCCUCCGUGCCGCAGCCAACGCAUUAAGCGCCCCGCCUGGGGAGUACGGCGGCAACGCUAAAACUCAAAGGAAUUGACGGGGGCCCGCACAAGCAGCGGAGCAUGUGGCUUAAUUCGAAGCAACGCGAAGAACCUUACCAGGGCUUGACAUCCGGGUGAAGCGGCGGAGACGCCGUGGGCCGAGAGGAGCCCGGACAGGUGGUGCAUGGCUGUCGUCAGCUCGUGCCGUGAGGUGUUGGGUUAAGUCCCGCAACGAGCGCAACCCCCGUCGCGUGUUGCCAGCAACUCGGUUGGGCACUCGCGCGAGACUGCCGGCGUCAAGCCGGAGGAAGGUGGGGACGACGUCAAGUCAUCAUGCCCCUUAUGCCCUGGGCUGCACACGUGCUACAAUGGCCGGCACAACGGGUUGCGACCCCGCGAGGGGGAGCGGAUCCCUCAAAGCCGGCCCCAGUUCGGACCGCAGGCUGCAACCCGCCUGCGCGAAGCCGGAGUUGCUAGUAAUCGCGGAUCAGCACGCCGCGGUGAAUACGUUCCCGGGCCUUGUACACACCGC
rnacentral:rRNA from 1 species